UGGUCCCAGCCUUAUUAUCAGCUAUCUCUAAAAUUACACAUGCAAGUCUCAGCACACCCGUGAGGACGCCCUUUACCCUUUACCAGGCUUAGGAGCUGGUAUCAGGCACUAAACCUGCCCACUACACCUAGUCCCACCACACCCACAAGGGCUUUCAGCAGUGACAAAUAUUGCUUAUAAGCGACAGCUUGAUCCAGUUACAGAGAAAAGAGCUGGCUAACUCGGUGCCAGCCGCCGCGGCUAAACCGCACGAGCUCAAGUUGAUAAACACCGGCGUUAAUCGUGAUUAAAGCCCUUACAAAUUAGAGUAAAACCUGCACUUAGCCGUGAUAAGCUCGCCCUAGGGAAAGACAAAAACGAAAGUUACUCUAAUCCACUUGAACACACGACAGUUGGGAAACAAACUGGGAUUAGAUACCCCACUAUGCCCCACCGUAAAACAUUAACUCACACUAACCAACGCCAGGGUAUUACGAGCCCCAGCUUAAAACCCAAAGGACUUGACGGUGUCCUAUCCAACUAGAGGAGCCUGUUCUAUAAUCGAUAACCCCCGAUAUACCCAACCCUAUUUUGCUAAUCAGCCUGUAUACCUCCGUCGAAAGCUUACCAUAUGAAUGUUCUUAGUAAGUCCAAGGAUUAUCUACCAAUACGUCAGGUCAAGGUGCAGCUCAUAAUGGGGAAAGCAAUGGGCUACAAUUUCUAACAUAGAAUAUACGAAAUGCUACAUGAAAUAUAGCCACGAAGGCGGAUUUAGCAGUAAAAAGAAAAUAACGUGUUCUCUUUAACAAGGCCCUAGGACGUGUACACACCGCCCGUCACCCUCUUCAAUAGUUCAUAAAAUGUUCUUAACAUCAACCUACACCUCAGAAGAGGCAAGUCGUAACAUGGUAAGUGUACCGGAAGGUGCACUUGGAUUUCAAAAUAUAGCUUAAACAAAGCCCCUUGCUUACACCAAGAAAAUAUCUGUUAAACUCAGAUUAUUUUGAGCCUAAAAUUAAGCCUAACCAAAGUCCCAUGAAACUAACAAACAACCCUCACCAAAUAAAACAUUUUAUCAGUCUAGUAGAGGCGAUCAAAAAACUCAUUAGCGCUUUAUCACAAGUACCGCAAGGGAAAAAAUGAAAUAGUUCUGAAAUAGCCCCAAAGCAAAACACAGCAGAGAUAGACACUCGUACCUUUUGCAUCAUGGUUUAGCUAGUCCCCUACAAGCAAAACGAAACAUUAGUUUGUCCCCCCGAAACUAAGCGAGCUACUUCGAAACAGUUUAUAGAACUAACCCGUCUCUGUUGCAAAAGAGUGGGAUGACUUCCAAGUAGAGGUGAAAAGCCUACCGAGCCUAGAGAUAGCUGGUUAUUCAGAAAAAGAAUUUUAGUUCAACCCUAAGUCUCCUCAUUACCAUAACAAAUCUCCUAGACUUAGGAGCCAGUCAAAUAAGGCACAGCUUAUUUGACAAAGGAUACAACCUACAAAAAAGGGUAAAACACUAUACAUCAACUAAGUGGGCCUGAAAGCAGCCACCUUUAAGAUAGCGUUACAGCUCCUUUACCCUCCACAACAAAUACCUAAAAAUACUAUGAACCCUUUAUCAUUACUGAAUGAUCCUAUAUCCUUAUAGGAGCCCCAAUGCUAAAACUAGUAACAAGAAACAGAAUUUCUCCAAAUACAAGUAUAAGCCAAAAUGGACCAACCAUUGGCAAUUAACGUCACUGAACUUAAUAUAGCAACCCCCAAGAAAACCCUAUAAUCCCUGUCGUUAAUCUUACACAAGAGUAUUUCCGGAAAGAUUAAAAGAAAGGGAAGGAACUCGGCAAACUUUAACCCCGCCUGUUUACCAAAAACAUCGCCUCUUGAUCAAUCAUAAGAGGUCUAGCCUGCCCAGUGACAUAGUUUAACGGCCGCGGUACCCUGACCGUGCGAAGGUAGCAUAAUCACUUGUUCUUUAAAUAAGGACUCGUAUCAACGGCAUCACGAGGGUUACACUGUCUCCCCUCUCUAAUCAGUGAAACUGACUUCCCCGUGAAGAGGCGGGGAUAUAACUACAAGACGAGAAGACCCCAUGGAGCUUUAAACCCAGUAACAACCCCUAUCAACUUUACCUUAAAAAUUAACAGGCACUGUUCACUGGUUUUAGGUUGGGGUGACCAUGGAGUAAAACUAAACCUCCAAGACGAACGGUCUUAUCCUAAUCUAAGAGCUACUGCUCUAAGAAUCAAAAAUUUGACGUAAUAUGAUCCGGUAACCGAUCAACGAACCAAGUUACCCUGGGGAUAACAGCGCAAUCCAUUUCAAGAGCCCCUAUCGACAAAUGGGUUUACGACCUCGAUGUUGGAUCAGGGUAUCCCAGUGGUGCAGCCGCUACUAAAGGUUUGUUUGUUCAACAAUUAAAACCCUACGUGAUCUGA
rnacentral:ncRNA from 1 species